rnacentral:lncRNA from 1 species
CGACCGUUUGAAAACCGUGACUCUGGCUGCAAACGGAAGAGGGGGAAACUGUAAAUGAGAAAGGAAGCCAUUAAGAACGAAAACUACCUCUCUCUGCGCCAGCUCCGCACCAUCGCCCCAGGUUUCCGGCUUCGCUGCGUGCUUCUCAGGCCUCGGACACCAGCGGCCCCUCUCAGGAGCCGGCAGCCCCCACCCGGCGUGGGCUCAGUGAGGGCCCAGCUGCAGCCCCCACUGAGCACCCCAACGGCCACCGCGGUCCAUCCACACAAGGCCCUGCCUGCCUGGGAGCCCGGGGCUGGUCCUUUACCUGCCGCCCCUUUCUCACCCGCCCUAGCCCCACGCACCCGGAAGUGGAGAUCCAGCCUGAAGAGGCCGCUGGGAGGGCCCUGGGGUGGCCCCCUGAGAUGCCCUGUGGCUCAGGAGGAAUUCCAGCCCUGGGAGAGGCUAUCCUGGGCCCGCCGCUGCCCUCAGCCACCACAGGCCACAGGCCCCUAACAAGGUCCAGGCCAGGCGUGGAGACCCCGCUGCUGGCUAGCCAGCCCCCAGCCUUCACAGGGCCCACCAGUCAGAGGACAGUGAGACCAUCGCCCUCUAACUCCCCGCAACCCAUCAGCUCUCAGCCAAAUGUGAAAUGGGGGUGGGGGGCUUCCAAUUCCAGGAACGGGAUCAUGGUAACAUCAAGACCCACCAGAGAUUCGGCAAGGUAAGCCACGGGACACCCACAUGGAAGUAGGGGCCACAGAGGCCAAGAGAAGGAGAGGGACCUGGCCAAGGCCUCAUGCGACCAUGGGCUGGGACUUUCCCGGGGACUCGGGAAAGCUGGGGGGUGGUGGCAGCUGUUACGGGACCCAGACCACGCUCACCGGGGUAAGGUGGCAGCUCUGCUUCUACCCAGGGCGUGGAACAAUCAGAAACAUAAGAGAAUGGGAUAGCAGCUGAGGAUGCGGAGGGGCCCCAAAGCUCGCCAUCAGAGGUACCUCCUGGAUCAGUCAGGGGUUCAAAGGGGAAAAGAGCAGCGAAGAGAUUCUGAAAUGGCCCGUGGGGAACAGGGGGCUGGACUGAGUGUUACUGGGAGAUUCAAAGUCAGGAAGGCCUGCACUCCCAUCCUGCCUCGCCAGGCUCUGUGGCCUCAGAGCAGGCAUCCGACUCCACUGAGCCCCGGUCUCUCCAGAGACACCUCACUCUGCCCCCGGGAAAAUCCACAAAACCGGUGUUCUCGGGACGCCUUGAUUCAGCCUGGAAGACAAGUGUGUCCCCACCCCGGGCCCGUACCUGCUCAGGGACCCUGCAGGAGCUGGGGAGGCGGGGAAGGCAGGCACCUCCACCAAGGCAUCCAGGCCUCUCUCACCUCAUCUCUUGCGGCAACCCGCAUGGCGCUCAACACUCCCGCCACACCUGACUGCUCGUCUGCGCCCUCGCUCUGCCCUGGCUCGGCUGCUCCCUCUGCCUUCCCUCCAGCUCUUCGAGCCUGA